UACGUAGGGUGCAAGCGUUGUCCGGAAUUAUUGGGCGUAAAGAGCUCGUAGGCGGUUUGUCGCGUCGUCCGUGAAAACCUGCAGCUCAACUGCAGGCUUGCGGUCGAUACGGGCAGACUAGAGGUAGGUAGGGGAGAAUGGAAUUCCCGGUGUAGCGGUGAAAUGCGCAGAUAUCGGGAGGAACACCGGUGGCGAAGGCGGUUCUCUGGGCCUUACCUGACGCUGAGGAGCGAAAGCAUGGGGAGCGAACAGG
rnacentral:rRNA from 1 species